CUACAGCCACCAUCAUCUGGAGACAGGUUUACUAUCCACAAGAGCUGGUGCUCGAGAAAGCUUGGUGUCACCCAGGUGCCAAGAGCUCCCCACAACUACACACGAAGGGUACCAUGACCCUUGAAGCAGAAGACUUCUAUCAUCAAGGUCUGCCAGAUCCAUGACUAUUCUUUAGAAUAUUCCUAUUGUUUCUAUGCUGGACAACUUGUGCUGUUAUCAAAUGGAAACUGGUCUUGCUAUGGAGUUCUGGCUGGCCUGGAACUCACAGUGAUCCUCCUGCGUCAGCCUCCUGAGUGCUGGGAUUACAGGUGUGCACCACCACGCCCAGUUCACAGUGUCUUAUAACAUUUCAUCUGUUACAAUUUCCAACAAUGAAUGGCAGUGCUGGCAUUUGGUCCAAUAUGGUUCACCCCUGCCAAGACCUUCAAUAUAUGUUCGGACCUGGUUGUAACAUUAGCU